rnacentral:rRNA from 1 species
CGCGUAGGCGGGUUAUUAAGUUGAGGGUGAAAUCCCGGGGCUCAACCCCGGAACUGCCUUCAAAACUGGUAGCCUUGAGGUUUGGAGAGGGAAGUGGAAUUCCAGGUGUAGCGGUGAAAUGCGUAGAUAUCUGGAGGAACACCCGUGGCGAAGGCGGCUUCCUGGCCAUAUCCUGACGCCGAGGUGCGAAAGCUAGGGGAGCGAACGGGAUUAGAUACCCCGGUAGUCCUAGCCGUAAACGAUGGAUACUAGGUGUUAGAGGUAUCGACCCCUCUAGCGCCGCAGCUAACGCAUUAAGUAUCCCGCCUGGGGAGUACGACCGCAAGGUUGAA